rnacentral:rRNA from 1 species
AUGCCUCCACCACCGCGCGCUCGGACCCCUCCUCGGCUGUCUCCUCCGCCCUACCGCUCGUCCACAGCCAUCAGUAACCCGGAGGAAGACACAGCCGUGGCUGACUCGCCUCAGCUGUCAGAGCGUUCCUCAAGCCGGCGUCCAAGCCGCCCUGCUGCCACCGUUGUGGCCAUGGAUGUAGCAUGGGCUGCCCGCACCAAGCCGGCCGGCCUCCGCUAUCGCCUCACCGAGCGCCCGCGGCUAUCCUCGCCUCACCUCGCCGGUCCACUUCCGCUGGCCGCGCCUAUUGACCCCCGCCUAUCGAUGGGCCGCCCGUUCAUCCUCGCUGUGCCUAUUGAUGAGCUAUCGAAUCAGCCUUGA